AAAUAAGAUGGAGAUAAAGAUUUAAAGGGAGAAAAAGUAUUUGUUUUGAAAAAAGAAAAGUGAUAAAUACAGUGAGAUUGAAAAAUUAAAUAAAGACAUUAAAAUAUUCCCAAUAUUAAUGAUUUUUAAAGCUUUCUUGUUGUGACAGGAACAUAUUGUGUGUCACAUAGAGUACUAUUUCUUUCCUGAAAGUGGUUUCUUGCUUGAGAACUUACAUUUAUGGAUGUGGUAUUUGGCGAGGAGUAAAAUCAGAUUAAUGUGGUAAAAAGCAUUACAGUCUUUUUCAGGGAAGUCAGUAUAACCAAAUAACAUGUUUUGGUUAAAAAAAAUAAAUCAAAAAAGCACAAAUUUUGACAAGUUGCUGUUAGAGAUGAAGCUACACAGAUUUACAUAAAAUCUGUGUAAAGGUACAAGAUAAAAAUAAAAACGAGCAGGUCUCUGGGACGAUUUUAUCAAAGGGGCAAAACUGUAUCUAUAUCGCUCUUAUAUUUUUGAAGAAAGCUUUUAACAGGGUGAAAUCUAUGAAGUAGUUUAAAUGAAAUCUCCUUCACUUAGAUAAGGAGGAAUUUUUGUAAAACCGGACAUAUUGCAUAAUGUUACACCCCCGUCCCCAAAUAAAAAUGGUUCAGCUCAAAGCAUCUGAAACUGCUUUAUUUCUUCUUUUCAGUAGUAACUGACACAAUAACUGAAUAUAUACAAUGGGAACUUCAGAUUUCAUCACAGGUGUUGAUUGUUAUACUCUUUAAAUAUAAUGAAGGUUAAGGUGUCAAAAAAUAAAAAUAAGGGAGAGCGAGCAGCAUGAUGGGUUGGGAAGAACACGGAAGUACGAGGGGAACAGAAAAGGGAGACAAGAUAUGGACAUAAGGAACAAACACAUGCGACAUGACAGACUCAGAUAGGAAACAGGGAGUGACAUAUCUGCAAAAACAGAAAUAUAAUUAAACAUAGAAGCAUAACCAGAACUAAACUCAAUACUAAAUGACAGAAAACUAAAACAUUAAGACAAAGUAAUCAAAACUCAAAAAGCCGGGUCAGUUGACCCAGAACCAUGACAUAAGAAGAUAAACUUUAGUUAGACUUGUAUUUUUAACUGAUCCACCUCAUGUUGUGUAGCCUUCUGAAUUUUAUACUUAUUGGGCUACAUGCUUGUUUAUUACAUAGGCUAUACAGUACACAGAAUGAAAAUUCACAUUUUUUUAACUGUAGUGUUUAAUUAUUUGAGCUAAAGCCAAUAAGAAAGUUACAGACUACGUAUAUAUGAAACAUGUGUAUACUUGCAGCAUUUAAUGUAUUUUAACCAUAUCAGAACGUAACACCCGGAUGUGUAAAGAAAUGCCUCUGAUUUUGCCACCCCAUCUGAUUUCCAUGCCACUCUAAGCCUCGGGUACGCGCAAAAUGUUUUUGUUCAUUGUGUGGUUGAACUUAGAGCGGUUCUAGGCUUCGUUUCUAUUGGUCGCUUGGGUCGCUAUUGCGCGGCGCAAGCAUUAGAAAAGAAUGGAUUUCGGAGCACAGCGCUGCCGCGUCCCACGUGAAAGGGCCUUUAGAAGAAAUCUGAAGCAAGGAGGCGGUUCAAACCCAAACUUCGUGGUUUUGUUCCGUGAUGUCUAAAGACUUUAUACCAUGAUUUUAUUGAACGAGAUGCUGAUGAAGAUGCACGCUGCAAGGUGGAUUUUUCUUUUCGCCCUGUGGGUCGUCUGUGUGUCUUCAAAUGAUGAAGAAUCAUGUGAAGAUUUAGGAGAAUUUUGCAGCAUCAGCAGACUGAGCAUUUCACUUGGCUCAUCUGUGCUCCUACCAUGCACUGCUCGACCAACCAGUUCCAACUGGGUGACAUGGAGCCACUUUCCCAAAGGGGAGAUGGUCCAACUGUCACCUUUAGGACAUGUUAAGUACCAGGACCCCAGAAACGGCAGAGUUAAAACCUUUCCAUUUCAGGGCUUGGAGGGAAACUACUCCAUCAGAAUUGAUGAUCUUGGGUUAACAGACCUCGGAUGUUACUCCUGCAUACAGGGUGAAAACUGUGUUCAAGUGGUGUUGGUUGAAGUAGCAGGUACAAGGAGGGACAUGCAGACGAUUUACAUCUGUGUUAGCGUGGCUGCUCUCCUUCUGCUGUGUGUUGGCGGCUACACCUGCAAGAAAUGCAUAGGUAGCAGCUUGCAUUGUUAGAGAUGCUGGUGAAGAUGCACGCUGCCAGGUGGAGUUUCGUUUUUGCCCUGUGUUUCAUCUGUGUGUCUCCAAAUGAUGAAAAAUGUUGUGGGUAUUCAGAAGACUUCUGUGAGAAGCUCAGUUUGAGCGUUUCACUUGGCUCGUCUGUCAUCUUCAACCAACUGGAUCCAAUUGGGUGACAUGGAGCCACGCUGCCACAGAGCAGGCAGAGAUGGUCCAGUUUUCAUCUCAAGGGCAUGUUAAGUUCCUGGACCCCAGAAAUGGCCGAGUCAAAGCCUUUCCAAGCCAGCAUUCAGACGGGAACUACUCCAUCAGAACUGAUGAGCUUGAAAUAUCAGACCUAGGAUGUUACCGCUGUGGGCAGCACUUUCUACGUGUGCAAUUGCUAGAAACAGGCCUAAGUAAGUUCGUGUCUGUUUGUUUUUUUAAACUUUAUUCAACAUGAAGCAACAGCCGGGGCCUAUUGAAGACAUUUUUAUAAAACCACAAUUCAUCAUGCAGGUUCAAGCAAAGGCUUCCAGCCACUGAUUUCUAUUGUUACUUGUGUGGCUGCUGUCCUUCUGCUGUGUGUUGGCGGCUACACCUGCAAGAAAUGCAUAGGUGAGAACCUGACAUGUCUGACAUUCUCAUUCAGUAGAGAUGGUAAAAGAAUCUGGGCCGUUGAAUUGCUAAGUGGGUCAAAUUUACCUUACAACGUUGCUUACAAAGCAAUAUUGUAAGCUUCCUGGAUAUAAUGAUGUGACUGUCAACAUUUUUAUGUGUAUUUUAAAUAAACUGUGUGACUCAGGCAGAAACAUAUUGAUAAUGAUUGUGUUUGGGAAAUUGUCAAUAGAAAAUUGUACUUAGUAGUCAGUAUAAGCUUUUAAUGAUAUAAGUUUGCAUAUGAUAGAAUACUGCAUGAUGACCUUUUGAUGUGUUAGACUGUUGUUCACUACAAAAACUUGUUCUGUUCUCUUUCUUAGUUUCUUCCCACAGCGAUAAUAAGAGCUGAACCACUCUUAUCUUCACUCCCUUCUGAAUCCCACAACACACACAUACACCUGCAUACGCACAUUGCUCUGUCUAUGAACAGACGUAUUCACUAUUGUAUUAUUUUUGUACAUAAAUAAAGACCAGAGCGGUAACAGAGCGCUGAUCACAGGG